rnacentral:rRNA from 1 species
AGAGUUUGAUUCUGGCUCAGAACUAACGCUGGCGGCGCGUCUUAAACAUGCAAGUCGAACGGUAUACCUUGAGCUUGCUUAGGGUAGAGAGUGGCGAACGGGUGAGUAACGCGUGGGGAAUCUGCCUCUGGGAUGGGGAUAACGUUCCGAAAGGAACGCUAAUACCGAAUACGCUCCAUGAGACGACGGUUUUGUGGAGGAAAGGUGGGGACCGCAAGGCCUACCGUCCAGAGAUGACCCUGCGUCCCAUUAGCUAGUUGGCGGGGUAAAGGCCCACCAAGGCGACGAUGGGUAGCCGGCCUGAGAGGGUGUCCGGCCACAUUGGGACUGAGAUACGGCCCAGACUCCUACGGGAGGCAGCAGUUAAGAAUCUUGGACAAUGGACGAAAGUCUGAUCCAGCGACGCCGCGUGAGCGAUGAAGGUCUUCGGAUUGUAAAGCUCAGUAGAUGGGAAGAAGAAGCAAGGGGAAAUAUUCCUUGUGGUGACGGUACCAUCCUAAAGCUUCGGCUAAAUACGUGCCAGCAGCCGCGGUAAUACGUAUGAAGCAAGCGUUGUUCGGAAUUAUUGGGCGUAAAGGGCAUCUAGGCGGGAUGUUAAGUCAGGUGUGAAAGUCCAGGGCUCAACCCUGGGAUUGCAUUUGAUACUGACAUUCUUGAGUUCGAUAGAGGAAGGCGGAAUACCCGGUGUAGCGGUGAAAUGCGUAGAUAUCGGGUAGAACACCGGUGGCGAAGGCGGCCUUCUGGAUCUGGACUGACGCUGACAUGCGAAAGUGUGGGGAUCAAACGGGAUUAGAUACCCCGGUAGUCCACACCGUAAACGUUGUAUACUAGGUGUUCGGGGUUUCACCCUGAGUGCCGACGCUAACGCAUUAAGUAUACCGCCUGGGGAGUACGCUCGCAAGAGUGAAACUCAAAGAAAUUGACGGGGGCCCGCGCAAGCGGUGGAGCAUGUGGUUUAAUUCGAUGGUACGCGAGAAACCUUACCCGGGCUUGAACUGUACGUGACCGGCGCAGAGAUGCGCCUUUCCUUCGGGACACGUAUAGAGGUGCUGCAUGGUUGUCGUCAGCUCGUGUCGUGAGAUGUUGGGUUAAGUCCCGCAACGAGCGCAACCCCUAUCGUCUGUUGCUACCAGGUCAAGCUGGGCACUCUGACGAAACUGCCGGUGAUAAACCGGAGGAAGGUGGGGAUGACGUCAAAUCAUCACGGCCCUUAUGUCCGGGGCUACACACGUGCUACAAUGGCCGGUACAAAGAGAAGCAAAUCCGCGAGGUGGAGCAAAUCUCAAAAAACCGGUCUCAGUUCGGAUUGCUCUCUGCAACUCGAGAGCAUGAAGUCGGAAUCGCUAGUAAUCGCAGAUCAGCACGCUGCGGUGAAUACGUUCCCGGGCCUUGUACACACCGCCCGUCACACCAUCUGAGUUGGUAGCGCCCGAAGUGGCUGGUCUAACCCGCAAGGGAUGAAGGUUACUAAGGUGAAACCGGUGAAGAGGGUGAAGUCGAAACAAGGUA